CACGUGCGUGUCUGGCCCCUUCUUCAUUUCCUCCCUCCUGCAGGAGCCGCCCGCUGACCUUCAUGCACUCCUGGUUCAGGCUUCUCCGUCCCCCUGAUGAAAUGCUAUCAGAACACCGGUGACUUGGGAAGAAAUCAACGUGAUGUGGAAGUAUUUGUUGACAGGGUCAGCUGCGUUUGCGUGCGCCGGAGACUGCGGCGGCAUCGAUCAUAGCCGGCCGUGUUUGUCCGUCGAUGUCAUUCUGGAUAUCAAUCCGGUGGCUCUCGUGGCCAGCACCACCACCACAACUGGAAGGAAAAUCCCUUCGCACACUCCCAGGCCCGCACGGAUAAAAAAAUGCAUCGUCUGUCUGAUGCUGAUCUAGGUCACUGCGUCUGGAAGCGCAGUCUGGAGCUGCAGCCUCAGAGCGAUGCGAGAGCCCCACACCCCCCACU
ensembl:lncRNA